GUAUAGUUCGGCACCUCCAGGUGUGAACACAAAAUUCUAAAUUUUCAAAUAUUUAUUUCGGUUUUUUUUUGUCAAUUAGAUUUAAGUUUAAAGUGAUUAUUUUUUAGAAAAAAAAAAAAAAAAAAUGGGUGAUGAAUCCCCAAGGACACUCAGAGGACAGAAAUGACUAAGAGGACUGCUACACUAAGCUACAGGAACGAUUAACAAGCGAGAAGUACGAGUGGCACACUUUGGAAUAUUCAAAAUUAGAAUUCGGCGAUUAAAUGGGGGCACAUUCAAUGGCAUAACAAAAUACACUAUAGAAACUGCAGGUUCACAUAUGUAUUUCCACGGCAUUGGCUGGUUGCCAAGAACCAAGAACGGGGUCUUUGGCGUCGUCGGGGUCGGCAGUGUCUUUGAAUAUUCGGGGCUGGGCUUCGGGACUGGGAAUCGGGGCUGGGCUUCGGGACUCAGCAUUGAGAUUUGAUUUGAAACUUUAUAUACUCGUUAGCUCUGAGCUCACACCAAGGGAACUUAUUUUGAUACUAAUUUUAAAUAUAUUUUGAUACGAAAAUA